rnacentral:tRNA from 1 species
UACUAGAUGGCUGAAAACAAGCUUGGAUCUCUUAAAUCCUACUAUAGUAUAACUUAUACUUCUAGUAA